CAUUGAGGCUGAGGGAAUUGAAUAGCAGAGCCAGGGGUUCCAACUAGGUUGUUUGACCCGAAACCUACAUCCUGAAUUCUAUGCUGCAGUGACUUUAUUUACUUGGAACUUUCCAGCUAUGUUCCCAACUGGUCCUGUCAAGCCACAAGUGGGUGCCGAGGAGCAGUGAGCCUCGUCUUUGUUCUCAGACUCAGAUCAUUGGUACUACUGAUCAAACCAAACGCAUCUCAUCCUGACUCAAAUUCCUUACCACAUAUUUCAGUAACAACAGCAACUAAUAGCUCCUAAAUGUUUAGAUAAAUGCCAACCACAUUCCUCAACUCUUCACAUAAAUCAUAAUCUUCAUCACAAUCUGAUAAGACCUCCAUUUGACUACUCAGCCACGGAAGUCAACUCUGCUUGAGAAGGAGAGGGAUUCCUAGAAGUGAAUGUGACCACAUGAGGCAAUGCAAAUGCGUCAAGUAUUUCCUCUUAUUUCCACCCUACUAGAGAUGAAGUAGACCUGCUCAUGUGUUUAUAGCAUACCUCUUUUUGUAGUUGAGGACCAUUACUGCUUCAU